rnacentral:rRNA from 1 species
AACGAACGCUGGCGGCAUGCCUAACACAUGCCAGUCGAACGAUUGCCUUCGGGUGAUAGUGGCGCACGGGUGCGUAACGCGUGGGAAUCUGCCCUUAGGUUCGGAAUAACAGCUGGAAACGGCUGCUAAUACCGGAUGAUAUCGCGAGAUCAAAGAUUUAUCGCCUGAGGAUGAGCCCGCGUUGGAUUAGGUAGUUGGUGGGGUAAAGGCCUACCAAGCCGACGAUCCAUAGCUGGUCUGAGAGGAUGAUCAGCCACACUGGGACUGAGACACGGCCCAGACUCCUACGGGAGGCAGCGGUGGGGAAUAUUGGACAAUGGGCGCAAGCCUGAUCCAGCAAUGCCGCGUGAGUGAUGAAGGCCCUAGGGUUGUAAAGCUCUUUUACCCGGGAAGAUAAUGACUGUACCGGGAGAAUAAGCCCCGGCUAACUCCGUG